GACGUAGGGCGCGAGCGUUGUUCGGAAUUACUGGGCGUAAAGGGCUCGUAGGUGGCCAACUAAGUCGGACGUGAAAUCCCUCAGCUUAACUGGGGAAUUGCAUCCGAUACUGGAUGGCUUGAAUCCGGGAGAGGGAUGCGGAAUUCCAGGUGUAGCGGUGAAAUGCGUAGAUAUCUGGAGGAACACCGGUGGCGAAGGCGGCAUCCUGGACCGGCAUUGACGCUGAGGAGCGAAAGCCAGGGGAGCAAACGGG
rnacentral:rRNA from 1 species